rnacentral:rRNA from 1 species
GUCCAGACUCCUACGGGAGGCAGCAGUGGGGGAUAUUGCACAAUGGGGGAAACCCUGAUGCAGCGACGCCGCGUGAGUGAAGAAGUAAUUCGUUAUGUAAAGCUCUAUCAGCAGGGAAGAAAAUGACGGUACCUGAGUAAGAAGCCCCGGCUAACUACGUGCCAGCAGCCGCGGUAAUACGUAGGGGGCAAGCGUUAUCCGGAUUUACUGGGUGUAAAGGGAGCGUAGACGGCAGUGCAAGUCUGAAGUGAAAGGCGGGGGCCCAACCCCCGGACUGCUUUGGAAACUGUGCUGCUGGAGUGCAGGAGAGGCAAGUGGAAUUCCUAGUGUAGCGGUGAAAUGCGUAGAUAUCAGGAGGAACACCGGUGGCGAAGGCGGCCUGCUGGACUGCAACUGACGUUGAGGCCCGAAAGCGUGGGGAGCAAACAGGAUUAGAUACCCCUGUAG